rnacentral:rRNA from 1 species
UACAGAGGUCCCAAGCGUUGUUCGGAUUCACUGGGCGUAAAGGGUGUGUAGGUGGUGGGGCAAGUUGCGUGUUAAAUCUCAAGGCUCAACCUUGAAACCGCUCGCAAUACUACUCUGCUGGAGGACUGUAGAGGAGAAUGGAAUUCACGGUGUAGCAGUGUAAUGCGUAGAUAUCGUGAGGAAGACCAGUGGCGAAGGCGAUUCUCUGGGCAGUUCCUGACACUGAGACACGAAGGCCAGGGGAGCAAACGGG